UGGCGAACGGGUGAGUAACACGUGAGUAACCUGCCCCUGACUCUGGGAUAACUGCUGGAAACGGUGGCUAAUACUGGAUAUGAGAUUCUGCCGCAUGGUGGGGUUUGGAAAGAUUUUUCGGUCAGGGAUGGACUCGCGGCCUAUCAGCUUGUUGGUGGGGUGAUGGCUCACCAAGGCGACGACGGGUAGCCGGCCUGAGAGGGCGACCGGCCACACUGGGACUGAGACACGGCCCAGACUCCUACGGGAGGCAGCAGUGGGGAAUAUUGCACAAUGGGCGAAAGCCUGAUGCAGCGACGCCGCGUGAGGGAUGAAGGCCUUCGGGUUGUAAACCUCUUUCAGCAGGGAAGAAGCGCAAGUGACGGUACCUGCAGAAGAAGCGCCGGCUAACUACGUGCCAGCAGCCGCGGUAAUACGUAGGGCGCAAGCGUUGUCCGGAAUUAUUGGGCGUAAAGAGCUCGUAGGCGGUUUGUCGCGUCUGCUGUGAAAACUUCAGGCUCAACCUGGGGCUUGCAGUGGGUAC
rnacentral:rRNA from 1 species